UACGGAGGGUGCAAGCGUUAAUCGGAAUUACUGGGCGUAAAGGGCGCGCAGGCGGCCAGUUAAGUCUGGUGUGAAAGCCCUCGGCUCAACCGAGGAAGUGCAUUGGAUACUGAUUGGCUUGAGUACGGGAGGGGAGAGCGGAAUUCCCGGUGUAGCGGUGAAAUGCGUAGAUAUCGGGAGGAACAUCGGUGGCGAAGGCGGCUCUCUGGACCGUUACUGACGCUGAGGCGCGAAAGCGUGGGGAGCAAACGGG
rnacentral:misc_RNA from 1 species